UGAGGUGUAGCUUAGUGGUAGAGCACAUGCCUAGCAUGCGUAAAGCCCUGGGUUUAAUCCCCAGCACUGAAA
rnacentral:tRNA from 1 species